AUUGAACGCUGGCGGCAUGCCUUACACAUGCAAGUCGAACGGCAGCACGGGAGCAAUCCUGGUGGCGAGUGGCGAACGGGUGAGUAAAGUAUCGGAACGUGCCCAGUCGUGGGGGAUAACGUAGCGAAAGUUACGCUAAUACCGCAUACGAUCUAUGGAUGAAAGCGGGGGAUCGCAAGACCUCGCGCGAUUGGAGCGGCCGAUAUCAGAUUAGGUAGUUGGUGGGGUAAAGGCUCACCAAGCCGACGAUCUGUAGCUGGUCUGAGAGGACGACCAGCCACACUGGGACUGAGACACGGCCCAGACUCCUACGGGAGGCAGCAGUGGGGAAUUUUGGACAAUGGGCGAAAGCCUGAUCCAGCCAUGCCGCGUGCAGGAUGAAGGCCUUCGGGUUGUAAACUGCUUUUGUACGGAACGAAAAGGUUUGGCCUAAUACGGUGGUCCCAUGACGGUACCGUAAGAAUAAGCACCGGCUAACUACGUGCCAGCCGCCGCAGUAA
rnacentral:rRNA from 1 species